rnacentral:tRNA from 1 species
GUGGGCGUGCCGAAGUGGUUAUCGGGCAUGACUAGAAAUCAUGUGGGCUUUACCCGCGCAGGUUGAAAUCCUGCCACUCAUG